AAAAAAUUAUUAUAGUUUAUUUAUUUAUUUUAAAUUUAUUUUACAUAUAAAUUUUAGUGUUAAUUUAAUUUUAUUUUUAAAAAAUGAAUUUUUUUAAAGUAGUAAUUCAUAUUAAAUUAUUUAAGAAAUUAAGAUUUAGUGAUAUUUUAAUUAAUAACAAAUUUUGUGCCAGCAGUUGCGGUUAAACAAAAGUUAAAUUAAAUUUUAUUAGUUUGUAAUAAAUAUUGAUAAUUAUUAUAAUUUAAAAGUUAAAUUUUUAGGUGAAAUUUUGAUUUAAUAGAAUUUAUAUUAUUCAUUAUAUGAUUUAAUAAAUUUAUUUAAAAACUAGGAUUAGAUACCCUAUUAUAAAAAUUUAAAUUUUAAAGACUAAAAUAGUAGGUAAUUAUUUAUUGAAACUUAAAUAAAAUGGCGGUAUUUUAGUUCAUUUAGAGGAAUCUGUUUAAUAAUUGAUAAUCCACGAAUAAAUUUACUUAAUUUAGAAUUUUGUAUAUCGUUGUUAAAAAAAUAUUUUUUAAUGAAAAUAAUAUUUAAGAAUUUUUAUUAAAAAUUUAAAUCAAAUCAAGAUGCAGAAUAUAAUUAAGAAUAUAAUGGAUUACAAUAAAUUUAUUUAAAUGGAUAUUAAUUUGAAAUAAUUAAUUGAAAGUGGAUUUAAAUGUAAUUUUAUUUAAUUUAUUAAAAUGAUUUUUAAAUUAAAAUAUGUACAUAUUGCCCGUCGCUUUCAUAUUAAAUAAUUGUAAUUUUUAAUAAUUAUAAAUUGGAAUAAGUCGUAACAAAGUAGAGGUACUGGAAAGUGUUUCUAGAAAGAC
rnacentral:ncRNA from 1 species